AUUGAACGCUAGCGGGAUGCUUUACACAUGCAAGUCGAACGAGUGGCGGACGGGUGAGUAAUAUAUCGGAACGUGCCCAGUAGCGGGGGAUAACUACUCGAAAGCGUGGCUAAUAACGCAUACUGUUGGUGCGGCCGAUAUCGGAAUAGCUAGUGGGUGGGGUAAAGGCGCACCAAGGCAACGAUCCGUAGCUGGUUUGAGAGGGCGACCAGCCACACUGGGACUGAGACACGGCCCAGACUCCUGCGGGAUGCAGCAGUGGGGAAUUUUGGACAAUGGGGGAAACUCUGAUCCAGCCAUCCCGCGUGUAUGAGAAGGCCUUCGGGUUGUAAAGUACUUUUGGCAGAGAAGCGGUAUCUGCAGAAUAAGCACCGGCUAACUACGUGCCAGCAGCCGCGGUAAUUC
rnacentral:rRNA from 1 species